CCUACGGGAGGCAGCAGUAGGGAAUAUUGCUCAAUGGGGGAAACCCUGAAGCAGCAACGCCGCGUGGAGGAUGAAGGUUUUCGGAUCGUAAACUCCUUUUGUUAGAGAAGAUAAUGACGGUAUCUAACGAAUAAGCACCGGCUAACUCCGUGCCAGCAGCCGCGGUAAUACGGAGGGUGCAAGCGUUACUCGGAAUCACUGGGCGUAAAGAGCGCGUAGGCGGGAUAGCAAGUCAGAUGUGAAAUCCUAUGGCUUAACCAUAGAACUGCAUUUGAAACUGUUAUUCUAGAGUAUGGGAGAGGUAGGUGGAAUUCUUGGUGUAGGGGUAAAAUCCGUAGAGAUAAAGAGGAAUACUCAUUGCGAAGGCGACCUGCUAGAACAUAACUGACGCUGAUGCGCGAAAGCGUGGGGAGCAAACAGGAUUAGAUACCCCAGUAGUC
rnacentral:rRNA from 1 species